AGGGUGUAAACGCUGCAGACUUGGUGUUGGAAGUCCUUUGGGGGCAUUCAGUGCCGGAGAGAAGUUGUUAAGUCUGCUACUUGGGGAGUACGUCCGCAAGGAUGAAACUUAAAGGAAUUGGCGGGGGAGCACCGCAACGGGAGGAGCGUGCGGUUUAAUUGGAUUCAACGCCGGACAUCUCACCAGGGAAGACUGUUACAUGAAGGCCGAGAUGAAGACUCUGCUAGAUUUUCAGAGAGGAGGUGCAUGGCGUCAGUGACU
rnacentral:rRNA from 1 species